GAUGAACGCUGGCGGCGUGCCUAAUACAUGCAAGUCGAGCGAACAGAUAAGGAGCUUGCUCCUUUGACGUUAGCGGCGGACGGGUGAGUAACACGUGGGUAACCUACCUAUAAGACUGGAAUAACUCCGGGAAACCGGGGCUAAUGCCGGAUAACAUUUAGAACCGCAUGGUUCUAAAGUGAAAGAUGGUUUUGCUAUCACUUAUAGAUGGACCCGCGCCGUAUUAGCUAGUUGGUAAGGUAACGGCUUACCAAGGCAACGAUACGUAGCCGACCUGAGAGGGUGAUCGGCCACACGGGAACUGAGACACGGUCCAGACUCCUACGGGAGGCAGCAGUCGGGAAUCUUCCGCAAUGGGCGAAAGCCUGACGGAGCAACGCCGCGUGAGUGAUGAAGGUCUUCGGAUCGUAAAACUCUGUUAUUAGGGAAGAACAAAUGUGUAAGUAACUGUGCACGUCUUGACGGUACCUAAUCAGAAAGCCACGGCUAACUACGUG
rnacentral:rRNA from 1 species